rnacentral:rRNA from 1 species
GACGAACCGUGCGAACGUUGUUCGGAAUCACUGGGCUUAAAGGGCGCGUAGGCGGCUCAUCAAGUCAGGGGUGAAAUCCUCCAGCUUAACUGGAGAAGUGCCUUUGAUACUGAUGGGCUCGAGGGAGGUAGGGGCAUGUGGAACUUCUGGUGGAGCGGUGAAAUGCGUUGAUAUCAGAAGGAACGCCGGUGGCGAAAGCGACGUGCUGGACCUCUUCUGACGCUGAGGCGCGAAAGCUAGGGGAGCAAACGGG